AAAAAGCUCGUAGUUGGAUUUCGGAACCGGCCGAUUGGUCCGUCCUCUGGAUCGUGUACUGAUCGGUCUGUUCUUCUUCGCGAAGACCGCGUGUGCUCUUAACUGAGUGGGCGUGGGAUUCGCGACGUUUACUUUGAAAAAAUUAGAGUGUUCAAAGCAGGCAGUCGCUUGAAUAUCUCAGCAUGGAAUAAUAGAAUAGGACUUUGGUCUUAUUUUGUUGGUUUCCGAGACCGAAGUAAUGAUUAAUAGGGACAGUUGGGGGCAUUCGUAUUUCAUUGUCAGAGGUGAAAUUCUUGGAUUUAUGAAAGACGAACUUCUGCGAAAGCAUUUGCCAAGGAUGUUUUCAUUAAUCAAGAACGAAAGUUGGAGGCUCGAAGACGAUCAGAUACCGUCCUAGUUCCAACCAUAAACGAUGCCGUCUGCGGAUCGGAGGUCGCUCAUGUAAGGCUCCUUCGGCACGCUAUGAG
rnacentral:rRNA from 1 species